rnacentral:lncRNA from 1 species
CAGAGUGUAAUUUCAGGCAGUUCUGCGGAAAUGAAAUUGCCUGAAAGUGCUUGUGACAGCUCUGCUGUGUGAUACAGCUGUGGGGCACAGGGCUGGCCCCACAGCAGGUCAGCAACACUUCACCUGCAGAUUCACAGCCAAAUAACAUGACAAAAGCAAAUUUUUCAUCUUGCAGAGUCCAUCCACAGAGAACAAAAUCCUGGAGGUGUUCUGCAGAGCAGGUAGGCACCUCAGAUUUCUCUUUCCAGCAACCUCCUUUGGAGGCCAUCAGUGGCCGGAGCUGCUCUGCUGUCACAUUUAAAGGGAGAUGCAUCCAGGCUGGACAGACUGGCUGGACUCUGAUGGAAACCAUUUCAAAUAUUUGAACUGUAAGCACUGAAGUGCAAGCAUUACCAUUUUGCUGUAUAUAUGUUUGCAUGGGUUUCAGCCCCAGCAAGAGGAUGGUUUUCGACUGGAUACAAACGCCAUGCAUAUUACAAGUAAGUUAUCCACCAGAGAUUUAAGGACUCUUUCUUUGCCAUUUA